UACGCAGGGUGCAAGCGUUAUUCGGAAUUACUGGGCGUAAAGCGUGCGCAGGCGGCCAUGCAAGACAGAUGUGAAAUCCCCGGGCUCAACCUGGGAACUGCAUUUGUGACUGCAUGGCUAGAGUACGGCAGAGGGGGAUGGAAUUCCGCGUGUAGCAGUGAAAUGCGUAGAUAUGCGGAGGAACACCGAUGGCGAAGGCGAUCCCCUGGACCUGUACUGACGCUCAUGCGCGAAAGCGUGGGGAGCAAACAGG
rnacentral:rRNA from 1 species